GUUCAUUAUCUGUUUCUAUCCUCUGAAACCGCACUGCUUUUUUCUGUGAGAAAAAUGGAGGGAACUCCCUCUCCCGUUUUUCCUCUCUUCUCAAUUUCUCCUCACUCGAAUUUCUCUCUCCGCGAGAAAUCUCGUCUCCUGAAAAUCCCAUUGAAAUCCGACCACUCUACGUUUCAAAUCAGGGCCGCCGAUUCAGCAGACAGAAAUACAGCUUCGAGGGUUUCUCCUCAAAGAGCAGGUAACCGCACUCACCUCCUCUUCUGCUUUGUCCUUCUUCGCCACCGGCUGAUGUUAGCCAUAUCCACCUCUGGCGUGCUAACGUGCGCCGGGGCCGUUGGGAGCUAACAGCAGGGCUUUCAAAUCCCCCGAGGAAAACACAGAAGCUGCGUCCAGAGUUUCUGCCUAGUAGAGCAGGGCAUUUUGAUCCUGCGAGGAAGAUGCAGAAUCUGAACUCGGAGGUUUCUCCUCACAGAGCUGUUUCUGCGGUGAGAUUGUUGCGGAUAGAUCAAGGUGGUGCUUUUGCUGACCUUUUGAAUGACAAAGGAAAAAAUUCUAGUGAGAACGAGAUGUGUUACGUGGAAAGAACUCUUGGGUUUCGCACCCAUGCUUUGGAUGAUAGAGAUAUCAGACUGCUAUCAUUUCUUAUAUUUUUCCCUUU